ensembl:lncRNA
GUCGUUUCCAGGUAUGUUCACUAAGGGAAAAGGGAAGAGGCGUUUUCCGGCAGUGAAUCUUGUUCCUGCUAAAAGGCCUAAACCAGUAGAAGUUGCUUUCCACCUUUUGCCAAAACAAUAUGAAAAAACCCCAAAAGAACAAGACCAACUAGUCCACUUGCAGGCAGGACUGGGCCGCAGGACUGUUUAUUUAGAUGAGAGCACAACACAUGAUGAGUUCUGCAUCCUUUCUAAGGAAACAAAAGUGUGGAGCAGCCAUUCCACUGCAGCUCCUGAUGGAACACUUGAAGUCAUGCAACAUCAUUGAUGUUGACAAUGAUGAAGACAACCUGGAUAAUAUGGAGGAUAACAGUGAACAAGCACCAGCUCAGGAGCCCUGUCCCAUCUGCAUGGAAAUGUUUACCGCUGACUUUAUUGAAGUACAUGCUGCUUUGUGUGGUGAAAGGUACAUUAUAUACUGUAAUUCAGUUUUAUUUGUAUGUACUUGUUUCACUCACCAUCAGAUAUUAACCAUGAAGCAGUUUCACAAAUGUAAUUAUAGUGUUUAACAUUGUGUUGUGAAUGUGGGCAGUGAUGGAAUGUAUGAGGUGUUGGAUAGGAGUACUGUUGAAGAGCAAGCAGCAAUGCUUGUACAGUAGUGAAAAAGUUACAGAUGGUAGGUCCUAUUCAGGGUUAGCAGCAGUACAAUAAUGUUAGGGAGGGUAAACUGUGCUGAUGCAAUGCAGUCAAAAGUGGCAUGCCACAUGGCAUAACCUACAUCUUAUCUGACCAUGUGAAACAUUAUUACGGUAUUGUACUGCUUUUAGUAGUUUCUAUUUAUUACAAGUAAGUUUAAUGUCUGAUUUUUAGAAUAUGUAAUUGCGGAAAUACUCUUUCCAUAAGUUACAUAUCCAAAGUCAUUUUAUUUUUUAACAUUUUCAUUUUAUCUCUUACUAGAGUGGCUCACGGUACAAGACCCUACCAAGGUCAUGUCUCUGUUUCGGGAAUCUAUUCUUAGCCAUCAUGAAAGUAAGAAUCCCUUACUUCUCAGCAUAAAUAUUAGAAAGAGCCCUGCUGAACAAGACGCUGUGCUCAUCUGCUUCUAUAAGAAGCCGAAUGUGGAAUGGGCAUGACCCUUGAAUUGCAGACUUGAAGGUAGCUUCAAUUUCAUGUCAAAGUAGUUAAAGCCUACCUUAAGUAUUGCUUUUCCCUUUUACUAUAUCAAACCCUCCAUUGUGUUACAGGUGAUGCAGCCAUUGGAGAGGGUGUGAGUCACUUUUUCCUCUCAACUUGCAUGAACAAGCUAAAGUCUGGGUUUUGCUUCAACUUUGGUAUGUUGACUGUAGCUAUGUGUAAGCUGACUUGUCAUUAGCAAAUAUUUUGUUAUUAAAGUCUUGUUUAAUUAAACAUUUUUUCUUUUAAUGCCUACUAUGCAGAGUAUGUAGUAUUUGGAAUUUUCUUUUGUCUAAAUUUGUAAAUUUCUUAAACAGCAAACACUGCUGUUACACAUCUCUUUGAUGGACAGCCAGGCCAUUUAGUGCCCUCAGCCUCUUAGUUUCUCGUGGAAAGUGACAUGUUCGUCAUGGCAGGCAGAAUGGUGGGGCACUCCUUUGUUCAUGGAGGACCAUUCCUGUCAGGGCUUAGCCCUGCUGUUGUGCAUGUCCUGUUUGGAGGAAGCCCGGAAACUCCAACAGUAACACCAGAGGACUGUCCAGACCUAGACAUCCAUGAAACUAUCAGGCUUGUAUGUUUUUUAUCUAACCUCAUUAUUUCUUCCCUGUUAUAUACAAUCAAGAAAGAAAGUCUCCACCCCCUUGGCCAAUUAGUUUUUUCAGUGGGCUCUAAUAUUUUAUGGAAAAAUGGCUGAGGGGGUGAAGACUGUGCUAUUUUAGCUUUUUUUAUAUUCUCCUUAAUGAAUGUUUUUACAUUUUAAACUGCUUUUUAAUGUUGUAUGUAAAGCAAUUUAAAUAGUGCUAUAUAGAUAAACUUGCCUCGCCUUUCGCUUCCCUCUCUGUCUUAAAGCUUGAAGGGGAAUCUGAACUCUCAGACAAGGACAAAACAAGUGUCCAGGAGUUGGCCUACGCUUGGGAUCUCCCUGGCCUUACUGGAAAUAACCGAAGAUGGCUUUUUGAGAAGAUGUUGAUCCAUGCUGUGUGUAAAAUUUAAAGAAGCUGUCACAAAUCGGCAAAAGUCAUUUUCAGAACUUGCUUUGGGAUAAUAAUAAAAUCACCUUCUGUCCGGUAAUGUCA